ensembl:lncRNA
GCGCCGGGUUUGUCCGGUACGGCUGUGCCGCUCGGUGUGCACCGCUCCUCGGGACAGCGUGUGCCGGGGCCCUCCUCGGGAAAUAUUUCUUCCUUCUAUGGAAACCAACGAGCACCCGGGCCUGCACUCUUGAUAUAAAUACCCGGUGAUGACCGACUUAUUGCGGGCGACCGGGCGACGAAUCCACCGUUGGGACAGCACUGCCGGUGUCAGGCCGUAAAGAAAGAAAGAAAAAAAAUCUAAAAUCUUUAAGAUAUGUGUGGGAUCUGUUGAGUCACGGCCUGAACCACGGAUUGAUCACCUGUGGAAAGGACCCAGUCAGCCCUGAGAGCACAGGUGAAAGCAAUUCAUGUGUGCGAAUGGAAGGAGGGGAGCCUGGCUGCAGCUCUCUUAGAUCUCAUUUAAGGGCUGACUGCUGCUGGGGAGGAUCUUUGCCUGGUGGAUUUGCCACAAGGUUUCUCACAAUGACUAACAGUAGAAGGAAAUGUGCUCUGAAGGGGUGUGCUUGCAAGUCGGCUCAAGAGAAAUGAAAAUCGUUGUAGCGGGGACCCUGCCUGGGAGCAGAGCAUUACCAAAUACGUUACUAUGCAAAGAAUCUCAUGUUGAAUAAUUUAGAAAUACCUUUUUGUUAGUGGUCAAGUAAAACAUGGCAACAGAGGGUAAUCUCAGGAAAAAGAGGGGAUAAAAACAUCUCUAUCAAGCCCAGACUUGAUGGGAAAGGAAGAGCUGAACAAGUGUGCGUGUCUGGGGGUGUUCAUCUUCUAGACUGCACCCAGAGAAGGAGAAUGAUUGUGAUGCUGCAGUCUCGGAACUCCAGUCAGUACACAAAUGGAAGGAUUUCUGGGCUGAGAUGAAUUUAUCUCCGCAGCUUCUAAUCUUUUGGAUUUUGUGUUCUAGUGCAGUGAAGCUUUUGGGCAUGAUUUAUCAUCACUAUAGCUAACACUGUAUGGGAAAAAAACUGACUUUAGAUCUUACAUCAAAGCUUUUAACAAAGCUUGUUUCCCUGGAUUUUACUUGCUUUCCAUUGUCUCCACCUCUCUGGUGCCUCUUUAAAAUAUAU